ACCUGCAGCUUUCUUUCGGGGUCUCUCACUAUGGUGAGAUAUAUAUAUUUUUUUUAUAUCAUAGAGAAUGGAGAAUCACGAGUCCGUUCUCCCUCUCUCCCAUGCUCAUCUCUGCCACUGAUCGAACCUAUCAUCGGAACCUCUCUGCUCUUUGCGCCCUCUAGUGACCCCAACGGCCCCUUCCCCUUCUCUUCUUCUACCGCCGCGAUAUCCAAGUGCCACCGCGAUAUCCAAGUGCCACU
rnacentral:lncRNA from 1 species